AAAGCGAAUGGCAGUGAAGCAGUCGGACGAGCUUUGAGCCCAGGCUACGCCGGAGGCCGAAAUGAAAGAGAAGGUGAACGCAAAUACGGUGUAAAUCAUGCGUGGGCACGUACACGAAAUCAAUCGAAAACCGGUGAUCGAAGAUCGUUCCCGAGGCCAGUAUCAAUAACCCCAAUCACCGGAUCGUUAAAGAUCGCAGUGUCGGUCGGCCCUUAACGAUGCAAUUAGGCCGCGAGAGGGCGCUCGAAUUAGGAUUGAUAAAUGUCAGGAACGCCUCCAUACUGCUCGCGUCGUUUCUGCUCUUCGCAAUCAGAGGCAAACGAAUUUAUUCGGUAUGUAGAUGCAAUAUACUGACUCUGCCCGCGUCAUUAAUCCUCUGUCGCGCCGGUAAUAAGCCCUUAAUCUUCUCAGAGUAUCGGCUACCAACCAGCGAAGGAUCUCGCGAGUGUAUUCGCAAGGUUAGGUUAGGUUAGAUUGGUCGUCUUGGAUUCGUACGCAUAUUCCGCAAAUUUGCAAGAAAAUUGCGGCUUCUUAUGCGAUAGCAAGGUGGUAUUUAUAAAUGGAAAGAUACUUUUCGUGUUGCUUGCGAUUAUUAAAGGUAAUUAAUGCGGUUAAUAAAUAUUGGCUCGAUCGCGUUAAAUCAUAGCGAAGGCCACCGGAUGGGAUCGAGGCUUCUGAAGAAGCCGGUCUUGGGUAGAUUGUGGAAUUUAUAUGGUUUUUUCCAUUUCUUUUUGCAUCUUCGAGAUUUUUUCUUUCGUGGUUCUUGGAGAUUUUUGUGAAUAUAAAUUUUUCGAUCGUGUGAAAUUGAUCGAGAGUUCAGAUAAGAUUUAUUGGAAGAUUGGAAAGAGGUUUUUUUAGUGGAUGCUUCCAAUAGAAAUUUUGUAUACAGUGUGAGAUGAAAGUAUUGAUGGGAUUGUAAUUAUAAUAAAUUUGAGAAACAAGUAUUUUAUAUAAAGAGAAGUACAAAAAGGUUGACAAAAAGAAAGAAAUAAGUUUUAAAUUUAAUAAGAACAUGUAAAAAUGGAAGAGAAUUAAAAUUACGCGCGGAAAGAAUGUGACUGUACGUUUCCAAGGAGCCUAUGUUCAGUUCGUAAUUUCAAUUCAUUUAAAUACACCAUAAAAAGCUUCGAUUUAUUUCUGUCGCGCUACGUAACCGCCAUGAAAGGAAUAUUCCUCGGUGAAGGUGAAAGUUCGAGGAUCGUCCACGAUGUACUGUAAAUCAUUCGAACAGCCCACGGAAAUAAAACAACAGGAAAGUCUUGCACCAUCUCUCCUCCACCUUCGAGUGAAUGAAUCCAAAUAAUAUUUCUAAUAGUAUAAAUCCAAAAUUUUCUCAUUCUUGGAUUUUCUUCGACGAUUAUACUUAUCCAAGAAAAGCAAAGAUAACUCAUCCAGUGAUAGCUGCAGUUUUGAAAUCACGGCACGUAAUCAUUGGCUGUAAAGUCUAUAACCUUGAUGUGACCUUCCUUUGAAUUGACCCUGACAGCCGUGCCGGGCCCAGCAGGCCUGACCAACGUUCCCUUAUUUUCGUAUCGUAGAGGCCUGCGAUGAGUCGGUCCCAUUACAAGACACGAUGGAGGGGACAAGCUGGAUUUAAUGAGCGGUUUCGCCUUUCGGUUGGCGCGAUAUGCGCGCCGAUUCCUUGUAAUUGGUAUAAUUGGCUUUGGCCGAUCGGUGACCGGGUUGCUCGUUUCAAGGGUCGUCACUUUCGGCUCCGGUGAAUUCAAUCGAUCCUGUCUUUAUCGGAACUCCUUUAUUCAGUCGGCUUUGAUCGAUUUUGGCGGGUCACUUUGUGAGCGAAAGUCGGUUGCGAUGAUUGGCCAACCAUGAUCGACGGCCACUAACUGAAUUUUGAACAGAGAUAUGAUAGAUAGAUUCUAGAUUAAUCUAUAAAUAUGACCUAAUCUAUAUUUUAACGUAUUCUUAACGAAUAAGUUUGAAAAGAAAUUGUAUUAAAAAAUAUUUUGGAAAAAUUUUAAAAUAGUUAUUAAAGUUUUUAAUUUAAUGUAUAAAUCUUUUAAAAAUGGAAAUUUUUAAUUUCUUAUAAAGAGAUUUAAUGAAAUUUUCUCUCAGUUCUUAGUAACUUAAUCUAAUUGUUAAAUUGUUUUUAUUAUACAUAUAUGUAAAUUAUAUUUUUUUACAACUUUUCUAAAAUUUUUUAGAAUUUUUAGAAUAGAAAAAUGUGAUACAAAAUAUCUUAGAAUUUAAAUAAAUUAUUCUUAGCUAUAUAAUUUUAUAUAAUAUGAAUAUAUUUAUAAAAUUUUUAUAUUUUAUACAAUUUUUCUUUAAUUUUCCACUAUUCUUUCUUUCCAAAAUAAUGUUGACUUAUUUGCAAUAUCAAAUCAUUUGAUUAUUCUAUUUGACAAAUAAAAAAGUAUAUUUAUAGUCCAAUUAAUUUGUAAUUUAAUCAUUUUCUGAUAUUUACUAUCAAUUGACUUUUUCAAAAAUCCAAUUUUUCUUCUCAAACCUAAGAUAAAAUCUAAAAUUUCCAUCUUCACAAAAAAUAGUCGCACAAUGCCAAAAUAUCCAUUGUUCAAUAUAUCAUAUAUUCUUUUCUUUCGGCCGUUUCUUCUCUGAUUCAAGCACCGGUUCAGUUACACGGUCAAAAGGAGGAUAGAAAUAAAAGAACAAGGUAACCGAUGUUACUUUCAUUCGUUGCUUCGAGCCGCGUUCGUGGCCAACUCUUAUUUCACAAUCGAACUAUAAGAUCGUGAUCUCGGUUGCCUCUCAUUCGACUUUCCAUUUCGUUCGAUACACACCGCGCACAUAAUACAUUACCCUGCCGCUUGUUCGCCGCUUUUAAGGCGCUGAUUAUGCAUGCGUCCGGAUAUUUAUGCGCCGCGAGAACUUCGACCGAUUUUUAUUUUUGCCACACGUUAAUCACACCACGGCUUGAGGACGACCAAACAAAAGAUUUAUGUGUUUUCGUAAAAUGGGGAGUGGCGGUGAGGUAGCGCGGAUCCUUCUUUUUCUUUGAACUUCCCGCGCGAAUUUUAUUCUCCGAAAUUUCCAAGAUUCUUUUCAAAGAUAUUAUGGAUUAAAUCGAUUUGUAAAUAUUUCGUUUAUGAGGAAAUUUUUAGUAAAAAUGUAAUAAAUAAUGAACGAGAAUAAAUGGAUAUUUUUCGUAUUUAAUUUAUUAUAUGUAAAUUAAUUUAAUCUAAUCGAUAUUUUUUAAAUGUUCAAAAAGAUUUAUUCUUACUGAGAUGAAAAGGAGAAAAUCAGGUGGAACUAUAAGUUGAAUAAUCGAUUAUAUUUGGUAAAACAUUUACAAGGUAAUAAGAUUUUUUUUUUGUUCAUUUAACGUUACAUUUACAGGCAAGGCAUCAUCAAAGACCGUACCAACUCUACAAUAAUUGUAAUAAUUGUAUAAUGUUUACUUAUAAGAAAAGUAUGUACCAUCAAAUUAUCUUUAUCGUUACUAUCAAUAUUUAAUAUUACGGUAGUUCGCUACUCUUAUUAAUUCUUUUGUCAGGAACAAAUACAUAUUCUUUUUUUUUUUUUUUGUUUAUUCUUCUCAAUAUAUUUAUAUUAUUUAUAAUAUAUACCAUUUUUUUUCUUUUGCAUUAAUCUUUAUAAUCAAUAUACAUCAAUUCGCGAUUACAUUGAACGGUGUUUAAGAACUGCACCCCGUGUAGGCAAAACAAGAUUUUCGGACACAUUCCUCGAGGUGUGUGUGCCUCCACGAUCGAACGAACAAAGAAAAAUAUACGUGUUAUAUUAUAUUAUAGAAUAUGUACUGUGUAUGCAUACGAAAAAUUAAAAAGGAAGAGAAAAAAAAUUCUGGAAAUGUUUAAAACGUGUGUUCUUCCUUUCUUCGAAAUUACACGCCACCUUCUUUCGUCUUUCCUUUUUCCUUUCGAUCGUAUGUUUCAGUCGUAUCGUUGAGUCGAUGCUCUUUUGAAAACGAUUCGAUCCACGUUAUUUUUCUUUCUGCAUAACCUUUUUCUUACGAUUCGUUUUCGAAGAGCGUUUUCGAUCGAUUUUCGAAUAGAAUUGCGGAAGAUUUGAUCAGUCGCAAAAUAUAUCGAAACAAAUUUAUCGAAACAAUUUUGAUAUAAUUAUUUAAACAGAAUUGAUUCAAACUUGUUUAAUGUACAUUUAUAUCGAUAUUAAAUAUUUUUGCCAGAAUUGUGAUUUCAAAAACUUUUCAUCAAUUCCAUAAUCGAAAUAUAAAUCGAUAUCAAGUGUAUCAAAUAACGACAUUUUCCAAUUCAGAUUCGAUAAUAGCGCGACUGAAAUCGUAAAUAUAAACGUAAUUGUUCUAAUAUAUUUCAUUCCGCAUUACAAGUGUACGACAAAUGUAUACGUCUCAAAUACACAGUUUUAACGUAGUACAACUAUCCUGUAUGAUACGACGAUAUUAAAGGCCGAUCCACAUUGACAGAGAAUUGUCCGCGUAUCGUGUCUUUUGACUAUAUAUAAGUUGUAUUUAGUCCACAAAUAUAAUUCGCCGUUCAACUAUUGACAAACAGUACACAGAUUAUUCGCAGACAAUGUCUAUGAGUGUAGAUAGGUCUUAAGGAUUAUUACAUUCGUUGAAGUGAAGACGCUCGAAUGAAAGGAGGCGUUUCUCGGUGCCGCGAAGCGAAGUCUAUUUCAUGCUCGCACGUAAAGACAGAUAGAUAGACAGACAGGCGGACAGAAGCAGAGAAAAAGAGUAGCAUGUAUAUGUAUGUAUGUAUGUAGAGAGAGAGAGUGAGAGAGAGAGAGAACUAUUGCACUAUACUGAUUCAUGAUAAUCGCUUGAUUAACUAGGCUGCGGCAGCGUUUCGUGGAGAUUUCACAUACGGUUCGAUGAAUCUCUUGAAUUGGUUCAAACGUUGCUGAAGGAAUAGCUUGGAAACUUGAGAAUAUUAUUUUAUCGAUAAUAUUGAAAUUUGGAAUAUAGGUUUUAAGGAUGUAUGGGAGUUUUAAGUUCAAGUAUCUAUUAAGUAGAAAUUUUAAAUUAAAAUUUGUUUGGUAUUUGUUAAAUUUAUGGCAAGAAUUUGAAAAUAAAUGUGAUGUAAUCAUUUUUGAAUAAUUUUUCUUUUUGAUAUUGUAGAAAAGACAAAGAAGUAUAGAUUAUAUUUAUAUUUGUUAGAAUUAUUGAAGUAUUUGUAUUGUUUUCUUUUUUUCAAUUUUAAAAUUAAAUUUAUUUUUUUUUUUACUUAAAUUGCCCCUCAAUCUUUUAUUUUAUAAUAUUGCACUACGCAUCUGAAACGAAUUAUUAUAAAAAAUCAAAUACAAUUCAAUCAAACUAUACAUCACACAUCACUUUUGCUGAACGCAAAUAAAAAAGACAAAAUCAUAAGGCAAUAAGUUAUUUAACACCGAAUUCUUUUAUUACAUAAACACAUAAACGAUUGAAAAUAUACAAAUCUUUCUAAGACUCUUUCAAGACAUACCAAAUCACAAUCCCUUUCAAAAUUUCAAUUUUAUCAAGUUCCUAAAAGCUUUUUAAUAAAGUUUUGAAAUAUUUCAAGCAUUCCACAAAACAUAUUUCAACUCACUCAAAGAUAUUUUUCAAAUAUUAAUCCAAGCUUCUAAAUCAUUAAAAAUCAACUUCUCAAAAAAAA